CAGCACGGGAGCAAUCCUGGUGGCGAGUGGCGAACGGGUGAGUAAUACAUCGGAACGUGUCCUGGAGUGGGGGAUAGCCCGGCGAAAGCCGGAUUAAUACCGCAUACGCUCUAUGGAGGAAAGCGGGGGAUCUUUCGGGACCUCGCGCUCAAGGGGCGGCCGAUGGCAGAUUAGCUAGUUGGUGGGGUAAAGGCCUACCAAGGCGACGAUCUGUAGCUGGUCUGAGAGGACGACCAGCCACACUGGGACUGAGACACGGCCCAGACUCCUACGGGAGGCAGCAGUGGGGAAUUUUGGACAAUGGGCGCAAGCCUGAUCCAGCAAUGCCGCGUGUGUGAAGAAGGCCUUCGGGUUGUAAAGCACUUUUGUCCGGAAAGAAAACCUCCUGGUUAAUACCCGGGGGGGAUGACGGUACCGGAA
rnacentral:rRNA from 1 species